rnacentral:rRNA from 1 species
UACGUAGGGUGCAAGCGUUAAUCGGAAUUACUGGGCGUAAAGCGUGCGCAGGCGGUUCUAUAAGACAGAUGUGAAAUCCCCGGGCUCAACCUGGGAACUGCAUUUGUGACUGUAGAGCUGGAGUGCGGCAGAGGGGGAUGGAAUUCCGCGUGUAGCAGUGAAAUGCGUAGAUAUGCGGAGGAACACCGAUGGCGAAAGCAAUCCCCUGGGCCUGCACUGACGCUCAUGCACGAAAGCGUGGGGAGCAAACAGG